UACGGAGGGUGCAAGCGUUAUCCGGAUUUACUGGGUUUAAAGGGUGCGCAGGCGGAUAUGUAAGUCAGUGGUGAAAUCUCUAGGCUUAACCUGGAAAUUGCCGUUGAUACUAUAUAUCUUGAAUGUUGUGGAGGUAAGCAGAAUAUGUCAUGUAGCGGUGAAAUGCUUAGAUAUGACAUAGAACAUCGAUUGCGAAGGCAGCUCGCUACACUAUGAUUGACACUGAGGCACGAAAGCGUGGGGAUCAAACAGG
rnacentral:rRNA from 1 species